CAAGGGUCUGACUGGAAGCCCUGGCAGCCCUGGUCCUGAUGGCAAAACUGGCCCCCCUGGUCCCGCUGGUCAAGAUGGUCGCCCCGGACCCCCAGGCCCCCCUGGUGCCCGUGGUCAGGCUGGUGUGAUGGGAUUUCCUGGACCUAAAGGUGCUGCUGUGAGUAUUCAGUGAGGAUCCAUGAAGAGCCAGGGACAGACACACCUGAGACUCGAAGGAGUCCUGGGCUCUGGGCUCAUCUCUGCUGCUGACCUGCCGUGUGGCCACUCACUCUCGCUUUCUGGACCUCAGCCUCCCUAUCUGUAAAAUGAAAGACUUCUCGGUGGGGCGCAAUGGCUCAUGCCUGUAAUCCCAGCACUUUGGGAGGCCGAGGCGGGCAGACCAUGAGGUCAGGAGUUUGAGACCAGUCUGGCCAACAUAGUGAAACCACGUCUCUACUAAAAAUACAAAAGAUUAGCUGGGUGUGGUGGUGUGCACCUGUAAUCCCAGCUAGUCAGGAGGCUGAGGCAGGAGAACUGCACGAACCCAGGAGGUGGAGGUUGCAGUGAGCCGAGAUCGCGCCAUUGCACUCCAGCCUGGGCAACAGUGCGAGAUUCCGUCUCAAAAAAAAAAA
rnacentral:sRNA from 1 species